UGGUAAAAGCUUAGUAGUUCUUAGAUAUGCUGUAUAAAAUCAGUGAUUAUCGCACAUGGGGGUGCGAUAAAGCAAUCAGCGACACGAUGUCGCAUUGAUUGCGGUCACGUCUGUUUUAAUUAUAUAAAUCAGCAUAUCUUAGAAAUACUUAGCU
rnacentral:ncRNA from 1 species